GCCAUUUUCUGGGCAACAACGUGUUACAGACUAUCUCUCUCAGCAAAACGCACUAUCUCUCUUAGCAAAACGAAGAGUUUUUUUUCAGAGGUUUUUCUCAGUUUCUUGUCUCAGCCUCUGCCUCGGCCUCAGCCUCCCUUUUCUCUGCCUCAGCCUCAGCCUCUGUCUUAUAGCCGAGGCAGCCACGCGCAUCGCGCGCCUCUUGCCACCAGCCGACAAACGGGCACGCAAGCCAAGGCGCCCACGUGCCUCGCCAUCAUGUCCGGCACGCCUUUUUAUGGAUUGGGCACGCCUUUUGAUGGCACGCCUUUU